rnacentral:rRNA from 1 species
GACGAACGCUGGCGGCGUGCUUAACACAUGCAAGUCGAGCGGUAAGGCCCGUUUCGGGGGUACACGAGCGGCGAACGGGUGAGUAACACGUGGGUGACCUGCCUCUAGCUCUGGGAUAAGCCUGGGAAGCUGGGUCUAAUACCGGAUAUGACCUCGCGGUGCAGUGUUGCGGGGUGGAAAGCCUUGUGCGGCUAGGGAUGGGCCCGCGGCCUAUCAGCUUGUUGGUGGGGUGANGGCCUACCAAGGCGACGACGGGUAGCCGGCCUGAGAGGGCGACCGGCCACACUGGGACUGAGACACGGCCCAGACUCCUACGGGAGGCAGCAGUGGGGAAUCUUGCGCAAUGGGCGAAAGCCUGACGCAGCGACGCCGCGUGA